CCUGGCAGAGCGAUAGGGCUUAGCUUCUGCUCACUAACGAUCUGCUAACUCACACCUCCUGCCUCCUACUAUGCCUGAGAGGGCACGGCUGGCGCCCGCCCCCACGCACACACCAGCUCUUCAGUGGUCGGGCUCACUCUUGCACUUACACUGUCACACACACGGUUUAGUACACUCCUGGUAAAAUCGGGUAGCUUAACUAUCUGUAUGCUAGGAAUACUGCUAUACUAGAGGGCGGGAGAGGUCUGAGGUACUACAGGGGUAGGGGUGAAAUCUUAUAAUCCUUGUAGGACCACCAGUGGCGAAGGCGUCAGACUGGAACGCGCCUGACGGUGAGGGACGAAAGCCAGGGGAGCGAACCGGAUUAGAUACCCGGGUAGUCCUGGCCGUAAACGAUGCAUACUAGGUGAUGGCACGGCCAUGAGCCGUGUCAGUGCCGUAGGGAAACCGUUAAGUGUGCCGCCUGGGAAGUACGGUCGCAAGGCUAAAACUUAAAGGAAUUGGCGGGGGAGCACAAAUAA
rnacentral:rRNA from 1 species